rnacentral:lncRNA from 1 species
UUAAUUUGAGCCUUGGUGGGUUGGGUCGCAGGUGCAUUAGGGUAGUGGAAGGUUGUAGCCAUUGCGUAAUUAGAGUUAGGAGUGGUUGGUGCAUUUUGAAUGUUGGCGCUGGGCUCGAGGCGUGGGGCAACCGCACCGCCUAUGAGUGGGACGCGUGGCGCACAGCCUGUGGCUCUUGCAGGAGGCAUGUUCAGGUUAUUAUGAGACGUGGAAGGGCUCUUUUGGGGCGCGUGUGCAUGAGGCUCAAGGCGGGGUAAGUCUGUGCCAGCUGUGAGUGGAACACUUGGCGUGCGCACAUUGGUCUCCAUGUGCGGUGAGUUCAGAUACUUCUGACUGGGGUUUUGAGUUGAGUUAAGUGCUGAUGGAAGGGAAAAAUAAGUGGAUUCAGUAUAGAGAAAAGGGGGCUCCCCAGCUGACCCUUUGAAUGGUCUUAAUAGUGAAACAUGGAAGACCGGGUGGACGCGAGCGGACUCUGGUAACUGGAGUUCGUAAGCCACGAAUCUGACGCGACGGAAGACUCUGAAUGGCCCUGCAUAACGCGGACCCAACUUCUGAUUAGGGCGCCGAGCUAAUGAGUGUUUCCGGUAGCGAUGGCGAUUGGCUUGGUCGCACAUGCGCUGGCGUGUGUGGUGCAAAUCUCGGAGGUCAUGGGGCAUGACGGUCUGCUUCGUCAGUGUCUCUUGAAUGGUGGUUCCUACGUUUGGUAUGUUAACGAAGUCGACGAUGGUGGGUGGUUGUCGACCGUAUAACGCAUGGAAUGGGGAGGUUUCGAUCGCCAAAUGGUAUGUGGUAUUAUGCCACAAGUGCAAAUAUUGAUACCACUUCUUAGGUUGGUUACCCACAAAGCAUCUCGGGUAAGCUUCUAAUCCGCGGUUUAACACCUCUGUUUGGCCAUCAGUUUGAGAGUGGUAAGACGAACUGAAAUUUAACACUGUUCCUUGUGCCUUGAACAAAUGUUGUCAAAAGGUACUCACGAACAAGGGGUCUUUAUCUGACACAAUGGAUUUGGGUAGUCCAUGAAGGCGGCAUAUCUCCACAAAAAAACGCUUGGCUAGCUGUUGGGCAGUGAAGUGCAUAGGAAUAGCUAUGAAGUGAGCAUAUUUUGUGAGUCUAUCGUAAACAAACCCAAUGACCGAGUGCCCGGUCGAACUUGGAAGGUGAGUUAUAAAGUCCAUUGAUAUUUCUUCCCAUACCUGUUUUGGAAUCGGUAGUGGUUGUAAUAGCCCUUGAGUUUUGGUUGGCAUGUAUUUUAUUUUGUUGACAUGUGGAGCAUUGUUGGACGAAACAGUGGACAUCUCUGGUCCAUUUCAGCCAAUAAAAAGAAGUAACUAUGCGCUUAAGAGUGGGUUUAAUGCUGGAAUGGCUGCCGACAGGGGAAGUGUGGAUUUCGGUCAUGAUUCGGUGGUGGAAGUCAUUCACUGCUGGCACAAAAAUCUGGUGGCGGAAGAAUAAUAACCCCUGGCUAGUGGAGAAAAGGCUCGGUUACGUUUGACUGCUAGUGCAUGCUUGGAUCACUUCCUGACCUUCUGUGGUUGCAAGAUAAUGUUGGAGGUCACGAACAAGCUGAGGAAUGGGCGAUGAUAGAGUGAGCAGUAUGAUUGAGUGAUCCUCACUUUGUCUUGAAAGAGCGUCAACCACUACAUUCUCCUUCCUAGGUUUGUAAAAAAUAUGAAAAUCACACCCUUGCAAUUUUGCUGUCCAUUUUUGUUGCUCGGAGGUUUGUAUGAUUUGGGAAAGUAGUGUGUUUAGGCUCUUUUAAUCUGUGAUAAUCUUGAAAUGCUGACCUAUGAGAUAUUGAUGCCAUUUUUUAUGGAUUCUGUAAUGGCGUACAUCUUGCGUGCAUAAAUGGAGGAAGCUUGGAGUUUGGGACUCAUCUAUUUGCUGAAGAAGGUCAGCGGACACCUUGAUUGACUGAGGACAACACCUACGACCACCGCGGAAGUGUCUGUUUCUACCACAAAAGGAAGCUUGAAGUCCGAUAGUUGUAGGGUAGGCACUUUUGCUAUGUGUAAUUUUAAAUUUUCAAAUGCUUGUUGCACGGGCCAAGACCAUGUAAAUUAUGGUGCUGUAAUAAGUCGGUGAGAGGAGCGGUGAGAGUGGCGUAUUGCUUAAUGAAUUUUUGGUAGAAUCCGGUGAGGCCAAGGAAACCCUGUAAUUCUGUGAGUGAACGUGGCUGAGGCCAUUUGUGGAUGGCCCUGACCUUAUCUGAGUCUGGGUGGACUCCUUGAGCAGAAAUUAUAUGACCUAAGUAACUGACAUUUGUGGUUGCGAAACUGCAUUUGGAAAGCUUGACAAAAAAAAUUUGAUUUUGUAAUGUUGCCAAUAUAGUUUUUUAGAUGAACAAUAUGAUCCUGCAAGUUUGGGCUAUAAAUCAAAAUAUCAUAAAAAAAAGCUAAGACAAACCGGCGAAGGAAUGGUCUCAAUAGAUCAUUCAUUGCUACCUGAAAAGUAGAAGGAGUGUUAGUUAAACCAAAUGGCAUGACUAAGAAUUCGUAGUGGCCAUCAAUAUUGCGGAAAACUCUUUUAUGUGUGUUUUCAGGAAUUAGAAGUAUUUGGUAGUAACCAGAAUGCAAAUCUAUUUUAGUAAAAACAAUAACUGAACCUAAUUCAUCUAGCAAUUCAUUCAUAAAGAUUUGAGAAACUUUCCAAUAUAAUUUUAAAGUUAUU